AGAGUUGAUGAAGAUGAUCAAAUCAUGCAUACUCUUGCGGGUCUUGGACCAGAGUAUGAUUCUGUUAUGGUUACUAUCACUUCUAAGCCAGAGGCAUGGUCUCUUGGAGAUGUGAGCUCCUUGUUGCUAAGCUUUGAGA